rnacentral:rRNA from 1 species
AUGUAUAUUCCUACAACAUAUAAUUAAUGCACUGAAACCCAUUAUAACUCCACGGUUAAGUGUGCUUAAGCUAGAGUAGUACUGGGAUGGGUGACCACCCGGGAAGUCCUAGUGUUUUACAUG